AGAGUUUGAUCCUGGCUCAGGAUGAACGCUAGCUACAGGCUUAACACAUGCAAGUCGAGGGGCAGCAUGAGAGGACUUCGGUCCUUUCGAUGGCGACCGGCGAAUGGGUGAGUAACACGUAUCCAACCUGCCCCUGACCGGGGGAUAGCCCUCCGAAAGGAGAAUUAACACCCCAUGGGUGUCCGUGCGGCAUCGCGCGGCCAUGAAAGGUUACGGUCAGGGAUGGGGAUGCGUCCGAUUAGCUUGCUGGCGGGGUAACGGCCCACCAGGGCGUCGAUCGGUAGGGGUUCUGAGAGGAAGGUCCCCCACACUGGAACUGAGACACGGUCCAGACUCCUACGGGAGGCAGCAGUGAGGAAUAUUGGUCAAUGGGCGGAAGCCUGAACCAGCCAAGUAGCGUGAAGGAUGACGGCCCUACGGGUUGUAAACUUCUUUUAUGCGGGAACAAAGUGCGCCACGCGUGGCGUUUUGCGCGUACCGCAGGAAAAAGCACCGGCUAAUUCCGUGCCAGCAGCCGCGGUAAUACGGAGGAUGCGAGCGUUAUCCGGAUUUAUUGGGUUUAAAGGGUGCGCAGGCUGCCUGUCAAGUCAGCGGUAAAAAUUGCGGGGCUCAACCCCGUACCGCCGUUGAGACUGACGGGCUGGAGUGCGGUUGAGGCAUGCGGAAUGCGAGGUGUAGCGGUGAAAUGCAUAGAUAUCACGCAGAACUCCGAUUGCGAAGGCAGCAUGCCAAGCCGUUACUGACGCUCAGGCACGAAAGCGUGGGGAUCGAACAGGAUUAGAUACCCUGGUAGUCCACACUGUAAACGAUGAUGACUCGCUGUCGGCGAAUAUACAGUCGGUGGCCAAGCGAAAGCGAUAAGUCAUCCACCUGGGGAGUACGACCGCAAGGUUGAAACUCAAAGGAAUUGACGGGGGCCCGCACAAGCGGAGGAACAUGUGGUUUAAUUCGAUGAUACGCGAGGAACCUUACCCGGGCUCGAACGGUGCAGGAAGGAUCAAGAGAUUGUGACGCCCUUCGGGGCCUGCAUCGAGGUGCUGCAUGGUUGUCGUCAGCUCGUGCCGUGAGGUGUCGGCUCAAGUGCCAUAACGAGCGCAACCCUUGCUUCCAGUUACCAGCAUGUUAUGAUGGGGACUCUGGAAGGACUGCCACCGCAAGGUGAGAGGAAGGGGGGGAUGACGUCAAAUCAGCACGGCCCUUACGUCCGGGGCGACACACGUGUUACAAUGGCGGCCACAGAGGGAAGCCACCCUGCGAAGGGGAGCGAAUCUCGAAAAGCCGUCUCAGUUCGGAUCGGAGUCUGCAACCCGACUCCGUGAAGCUGGAUUCGCUAGUAAUCGCGCAUCAGCCAUGGCGCGGUGAAUACGUUCCCGGGCCUUGCACUCACCGCCCGUCA
rnacentral:rRNA from 1 species